rnacentral:rRNA from 1 species
AACGAACGCUGGCGGCAUGCCCAACACAUGCAAGUCGAACGAGACCUUCGGGUCUAGUGGCGCACGGGUGCGUAACGCGUGGGAACCUGCCCUUAGGUUCGGAAUAACUCCCCGAAAGGGGUGCUAAUACCGGAUAAUGUCUUCGGACCAAAGAUUUAUCGCCUUUGGAUGGGCCCGCGUUGGAUUAGCUAGUUGGUAGGGUAAAAGCCUACCAAGGCGACGAUCCAUAGCUGGUCUGAGAGGAUGAUCCGCCACACUGGGACUGAGACACGGCCCAGACUCCUACGGGAGGCAGCAGUGGGGAAUAUUGGACAAUGGGCGAAAGCCUGAUCCAGCAAUGCCGCGUGAGUGAUGAAGGCCUUAGGGUUGUAAAGCUCUUUUACCCGGGAUGAUAAUGACAGUACCGGGAGAAUAAGCUCCGGCUAACUCCGUG